rnacentral:rRNA from 1 species
GGUGGCAAGCGUUGUCCGGAAUUACUGGGCGUAAAGAGCGCGUAGGCGGGCGCUUAAGUCAGGGGUGAAAACUGGCAGCUCAACUGCCAGCCUGCCUUUGAGACUGGGCGUCUUGAGGACAGGAGAGGAGAGCGGAAUUCCUAGUGUAGCGGUGAAAUGCGUAGAUAUUAGGAGGAACACCAGUGGCGAAGGCGGCUCUCUGGCCUGUAACUGACGCUGAGGCGCGAAAGCGUGGGGAGCGAACGGGAUUAGAUACCCCGGUAGUCCACGCCGUAAACGAUGGGUACUAGGUGUAGGAGGUAUCGACCCCUUCUGUGCCGUAGUUAACACAAUAAGUACCCCGCCUGGGGAGUACGGCCGCAAGGUUGAAACUCAAAGGAAUUGACGGGGGCCCGCACAAGCGGUGGAGCAUGUGGUUUAAUUCGACGCAACGCGAAGAACCUUACCAGGGCUUGACAUCGAGGGAAGGCUUGUGGAAACACGAGUCGUCACAAGCUUGCUUGUGACCCGAAGACAGGUGGUGCAUGGUUGUCGUCAGCUCGUGUCGUGAGAUGUUGGGUUAAGUCCCGCAACGAGCGCAACCCUUAUCUUUAGUUGCCAGCACGUGGGAGGUGGGCACUCUAGAGAGACUGCCGGUGACAAACCGGAGGAAGGUGGGGGAUGACGUCAAAUCAUCAUGCCCCUUAUGUCCUGGGCUACACACGUGCUACAAUGGCCGGUACAAAGGGAAGCGAUGGGGUGACCCGGAGCAAAUCCCAGCAAAGCCGGUCUCAGUUCGGAUUGUAGUCUGCAACUCGACUACAUGAAGUCGGAAUCGCUAGUAAUCGCAGGUCAGCAUACUGCGGGUGAAUACGUUCCCGGGCCUUGUACACACCGCCCGUCA